UAGAUCAAUGAUGACUACUGGUGGCAUAUGAGUUAUGAACGAUGAAUACUAUAUGUCUGGAAGUCUUGAGAUCCAG